rnacentral:rRNA from 2 species
GAUGAACGCUGGCGGCGCGCCUAACACAUGCAAGUCGAACGGUUAAAGCACCUUUUAGGUGUGUAUAAAGUGGCGAACGGCUGAGUAACACGUGGGCAACCUGCCCUCCUCUUGGGGAUAGCCUCGGGAAACCGAGGAUAAUACCCGAUACUUCAAUGUGGCCGCAUGACGACAUUGAGAAAGCUUUUGCGGAGAAGGAUGGGCCCGCGGCCUGUUAGCUUGUUGGUGGGGUAGAGGCCUACCAAGGCAAUGAUGGGUAGCCGGGUUGAGAGACCGACCAGCCAGAUUGGGACUGAGACACGGCCCAGACUCCUACGGGAGGCAGCAGUGGGGAAUCUUGCACAAUGGGCGAAAGCCUGAUGCAGCGACGCCGCGUGCGGGACGAAGGCCUUCGGGUUGUAAACCGCUUUCAGCAGGGACGAGGCGAAAGUGACGGUACCUGCA